rnacentral:rRNA from 1 species
GACGAACGCUGGCGGCGUGCUUAACACAUGCAAGUCGAACGGAAAGGCCCUGCUUUUGUGGGGUGCUCGAGUGGCGAACGGGUGAGUAACACGUGAGUAACCUGCCCUUGAAUUUGGGAUAACUUCAGGAAACUGGGGCUAAUACCGGAUAGGAGCUCCUGCUGCAUGGUGGGGGUUGGAAAGUUUCGGCGGUUGGGGAUGGACUCGCGGCUUAUCAGCUUGUUGGUGGGGUAGUGGCUUACCAAGGCUUUGACGGGUAGCCGGCCUGAGAGGGUGACCGGCCACAUUGGGACUGAGGUACGGCCCAGACUCCUACGGGAGGCAGCAGUGGGGAAUAUUGCACAAUGGGCGGAAGCCUGAUGCAGCAACGCCGCGUGCGGGAUGACGGCCUUCGGGUUGUAAACCGCUUUCGCCUGUGACGAAGCGUGAGUGACGGUAAUGGGUAAAGAAGCACCGGCUAACUACGUG